GACGAACGCUGGCGGCGUGCUUAACACAUGCAAGUCGAACGGAAAGGCCCUGCUUGCAGGGUACUCGAGUGGCGAACGGGUGAGUAACACGUGGGUGAUCUGCCCUCCUCUUCGGGAUAAGCCUGGGAAACUGGGUGUAAUACCGGAUAGGAGACAUUUUUAGUGUGAUGGUUGGAUAGUUUUUUCGGGGUAGGAUGAGCUCGCUGCCUAGCAGCUUGUUGGUGGGGUAAUGGCCUACCAAGGCGGCGGCGGGUAGCCGGCCUGGGGGGGUGGACGGCCACAUUGGGACUGAGAGAAGGCCCAGACUCCUACGGGAGGCAGCAGUGGGGAAUAUUGCACAAUGGGCGCAAGCCUGAUGCAGCGACGCCGCGGGGGGGAUGACGGGCUUCGGGUUGUAAAAUCCUUUCGCUAGGGACGAAGCUUUUUGUGACGGUACCUAGAUAAGAAGCACCGGCUAACUACGUG
rnacentral:rRNA from 1 species